rnacentral:rRNA from 1 species
UGGCUCAGGAUGAACGCUGGCGGCGUGCUUAACACAUGCAAGUCGAACGAUGAAGCCAGCUUGCUGGUGGAUUAGUGGCGAACGGGUGAGUAACACGUGAGUAACCUGCCCUUGACUCUGGGAUAAGCCUGGGAAACUGGGUCUAAUACCGGAUAUGACUCCUCAUCGCAUGGUGGGGGGUGGAAAGCUUUUUGUGGUUUUGGAUGGACUCGCGGCCUAUCAGCUUGUUGGUGAGGUAAUGGCUCACCAAGGCGACGACGGGUAGCCGGCCUGAGAGGGUGACCGGCCACACUGGGACUGAGACACGGCCCAGACUCCUACGGGAGGCAGCAGUGGGGAAUAUUGCACAAUGGGCGAAAGCCUGAUGCAGCGACGCCGCGUGAGGGAUGACGGCCUUCGGGUUGUAAACCUCUUUCAGUAGGGA